CGUUAGCGGCGGACGGGUGAGUAACACGUGGGUAACCUACCUAUAAGACUGGGAUAACUUCGGGAAACCGGAGCUAAUACCGGAUAAUAUUUCGAACCGCAUGGUUCGAUAGUGAAAGAUGGCUUUGCUAUCACUUAUAGAUGGACCCGCGCCGUAUUAGCUAGUUGGUAAGGUAACGGCUUACCAAGGUGACGAUACGUAGCCGACCUGAGAGGGUGAUCGGCCACACUGGAACUGAGACACGGUCCAGACUCCUACGGGAGGCAGCAGCU
rnacentral:rRNA from 1 species